rnacentral:rRNA from 1 species
AUUGAACGCUGGCGGCAGGCCUAACACAUGCAAGUCGAGCGGAGCGGCGGACGGGUGGGUAAGUCACAGGUAUCUGCCCGGUCGUGGGGGAUAAGGUCCGGAACCGGGCGCUAUUACCGCACACUAUCAGAUGAGCCUAGGCCGGAUGCGCUAGUUGGUGGGGUAAGGGCCUAACAAGGCGACGAUCCGUAACUGGUCUGAGAGGAUGAUCAGUCACACUGGAACUGAGACACGGUCCAGACUCCUACGGGAGGCAGCAGUGGGGAAUAUUGCACAAUGGGCGCAAGCCUGAUGCAGCCAUGCCGCGUGUAUGAAGAAGGCCUUCGGGUUGUAAAGUACUUUCAGUCGGGAGGCGUUACCGACAGAAGAAGCACCGGCUAACUCCGUGCCAGCAGCCGCGGUAAUAC